AUGAAACAUCACCCCGCAUCUUCCAGUAAAAGGGGGGAGACUGCUAAUGAGGGAACAGCAAGAAAACCUACCAGCAAAAAAAAGGGAACGGAUGGAGAAAAAAGAAAACAAGCUCACAAACGAAAGGGAGUCACUCAGACAGUCAAAAGGAAAACUAAGGAAGUUCUGACUAUGUUUACUUCACUUGAUGCCUUCUGUGCUUGGAGGCUUUCUGAUUUAAAAAACAAACAAACAAAAACAAACAAAAAACAAACUUUGCCUUUAUUUUCGUUCCAGAUCUAUUUUGCCCCAACAAAGUGGGGGAAAAGGAGAUUUUCAGAAAUACCUAAACUUGUUGAAAGAGAAGUAAGAAAUCAUCUUUUUGAGAGAAAAAGGAAUUUGGUUUACCCAGUUGUUCUGUGCCAUUGUCGGAGGAUUGCAUCUGGGAGCAUCACACUUGGAAAAACUUGGAAGAGAGUGUGGAUGCAAAAUCAAAGAGGGAGAUAUUGACAGUGGACAAGCAAGUGUUGUUGAAAGUAUCCAGACCCAUUUUAGCUACUUCUACAGAAGUAGCAGGACUAAGGAGGUAUUCUUAACAGCUCCUUUAAUAAGCGUUAUACUUAUUUAGGAGGGUUUAUGUUUGUUGGCAGCUAUUUAUUUUGUUAUAAUUUUAUGAUAGAGGCAGGAGCAGUGAGCUAAAUUUUCUUAAAUUCUAAUUCAUUUUGUGACUGUUGAAGUUAAUUCAAAGAGAAGUCAAAGGGGAAAAAAAAAUGUUAGGCCAUAACUUGAAGUCUUUUUAUGUCAUGGAAACAGUUGUUUGUGACUGAGAAUUUUUGUGUGUGUUGGUAUACCAUACCCUUAUGAAUAUCAGGCCUAAACCUGUAUGCUGCUUUUUUGGUCUUCCAGUAUAUCAAGAUAUGAACAUGAGCAGCUAUUUUUUUGUAACUUUUUUUUUUUUUUUUUUUUUUUUUUUUUUAUGCUUCACUUGUGAUGUGUCAGGUCUGAUUUCUGACUUGCCAAACUCCUCCUGCACCUCCAUAUCAAAUGUGUGUAAACUGUGACAGUUUGAUGUAUAUAACAGGAAGAUACUUGGACUUUAGCAAAGUAUUUGAUAUUGUUUCCUACAGUAAACAACU
rnacentral:lncRNA from 1 species